AAGUGGAGCAAUCCAUGAGUAAAGUGGCGACCGGGUGAGUAACACGUGACUAACCUACCUUCGAGUGGGGGAUAACAUCGGGAAACCGAUGCUAAUACCGCAUAAUAUCGCAAGAUCAAAGCAGCAAUGCGCUGGAAGAGGGGGUCGCGGCUGAUUAGCUAGUUGGCGGGGUAACGGCCCACCAAGGCGAAGAUCGGUAGCCGGCCUGAGAGGGCGCACGGCCACACUGGAACUGAAACACGGUCCAGACUCCUACGGGAGGCAGCAGUGGGGAAUUUUGCGCAAUGGGGGAAACCCUGACGCAGCAACGCCGCGUGGAGGAUGAAGUCCCUUGGG
rnacentral:rRNA from 1 species